rnacentral:rRNA from 1 species
UACGAAGGGGGCUAGCGUUGUUCGGAUUUACUGGGCGUAAAGCGCACGUAGGCGGAUCGAUCAGUCAGGGGUGAAAUCCCAGAGCUCAACUCUGGAACUGCCUUUGAUACUGUCGAGCUUGAGUCCGGUAGGGGAGUGUGGAAUUCCUGGUGUAGCGGUGAAAUGCGCAGAUAUCAGGAGGAACACCGAGUGGCGAAGGCAGC